rnacentral:rRNA from 1 species
GAUGAACGCUAGCGGCAGGCUUAGUACAUGCAAGUCGAGGGGUAGCAAGAUUGUAGCAAUACAAUUGUUGACGACCGGCAAACGGGUGCGGAACACGUACACAACCUUCCUACAAGUGGGGAAUAGCCCAGAGAAAUUUGGAUUAAUACCCCGUAACAUAGCGAUGUGGCAUCACAUUGCUAUUAUAGCUUCGGCGCUUGUUGAUGGGUGUGCGGCUGAUUAGAUAGUUGGCGGGGUAACGGCCCACCAAGUCUACGAUCAGUAGCUGAUGUGAGAGCAUGAUCAGCCACACGGGCACUGAGACACGGGCCCGACUCCUACGGGAGGCAGCAGUAAGGAAUAUUGGACAAUGGACGCAAGUCUGAUCCAGCCAUGCCGCGUGAAGGAUUAAGGUCCUCUGGAUUGUAAACUUCUUUUAUAAGGGACGAAAAAAGGUCUUUCUAGAUCGUCUGACGGUACCUUAUGAAUAAGCACCGGCUAACUCCGUGCCAGCAGCCGCGGUAAUAC